AUGACGCCGACAAGUCAGCCGGCGGCAACCGCCCCUCCAUGUUCGCGAACGGCCACCACUACCGUGGAUGCAUCCCUCUCUGUACGUUCGGGAGCUGACGCGACUGUGGUUGGUUUUGUGAUGCAGCCGGUGGCGAUGACGCCGGAGAAGCCAGCUCCGGAUGAUAAGCAACUUGACGAGAAGGAGCUGGAGCAGAAGUUGAAGAAGGACCAGAAGGCAAGAGAGAAGGAAGAGAAAAAGCUUAAGGCAAAGCAAAAGGAGGCGGCUAGGCUCCAGGCUCAGGCUGCUUCGGAUGGACCUAAGAAAAGCGAGAAGAAACAAAGGAAAAAAGCUGAUGACAAUGAAAAUCCUGAGGAUUUCAAAGAUCCAGACACCCCUAAUGGGCAGAAGAAAUCAUGGGCAACUCGAAUGGCCAAGCAGUAUAGCCCAAGUGUAGUCGAAAAAUCGUGGUAUGCCUCGUGGGGGUCUUCGGGAUAUUUUGGGGCAGAUCCUGCUAGCACAAAACCACCCUUUGUCAUAGUUCUGUCACCUCCGGAUGUGACUGGAGUGCUUCAUAUAAUCCAUGCACUUAUGGUUGCUAUAGAGAUGCUAAUACCUUGGCGGAGGAUGUCUGGUUAUAAUGCUCUUUGGGUCACUGGAGUGGACAAUGCUGGGAUUGCUACACAGGAUUCGUGCAAGUCGUCUGCUAAUUCCCGUUUGCGAGCUGUUGGGUGCGUGAAUGCAGUUGAGGAACAAAACAGAGAAAGGAAAGGAGAUAGUAAGACCUGA
rnacentral:rRNA from 1 species